UACGUAGGGGCUAGCGUUGUCCGGAAUCAUUGGGCGUAAGAGCGUGUAGCGGCCCGGUAAGUCCGCUGUAAAAAGUCAAAGGGCUCAACCUUUGAAUGUCAGUGGAUACUGCCGGGGCUAAGAGUCCGGAAGAGGCGAGUGGAACUCCUGGUGUAGCGGUGGAAUGCGCAGAUAUCAGGAAGAACACCAACGGCGAAGGCAGCUCGCUAGGACGGUACUGACGCUGAGACGCGAAAGCGUGGGGAGCGAACAGG
rnacentral:rRNA from 1 species